CGGGUUUCCACACCAGAACUGCUUUAUCCCCUGACAGACGUCGGUGGAGUUUCCCUCCCGACUCCAGUUGAGCCCGAAGAGCACUUUCUGUUCCCCUUUUGACUAUUUGCCUUGUUUGUUUUUUUCUUUUUCCCUUCCCAGGUCGUAUGGGAAAUACAAUCAUUGGCUACAAAUCAAACUGCUGUGCUUGUGCAUUUGGGUCGACCUACUACUCCCCCUAACAUGGACGUAACGGAUCGGAGGAGAACACACAGAGAAUGAGGAAGGACACCAGGAGAACAGAACGCACUGUAGAGCAAACGCUCAUAUUUAUUUUACCCACGCGUAAGAAGGAAGCGACGGAGUAACGGAGCUCAUCGCUUCCUCUGUGUUGAUGCUCAGACGUUUGAUGUCUUAAUGAUCCGCAUGGGGAGUGACCAGAGACGCACAGGACGCCGGCAAAGCCACCGAUCAGGAUCAGGGCGCCUCCUAUUUAUCAGCUUUCACGCACGGCUUUUGAAACAGUCCCGUGGCACCCGGCAGCCCUGGAAACCCCGACUCCCCUGCCGAGCCCUGUAGAAGUGAGAGUGUAAAUCAAUGGCUGCCAUCGAAGAAACCACAGUGGUGCUGUUCUGCUGUGUUCCUCAAACUGGCCCAUUUCACCCCACGUGUCCCACCAUCAUGUCCAAAGAGGAAGCAC
ensembl:lncRNA